rnacentral:rRNA from 1 species
AUUGAACGCUGGCGGCAUGCUUUACACAUGCAAGUCGAACGGCAGCGCGGGCUUCGGCCUGGCGGCGAGUGGCGAACGGGUGAGUAAUGCAUCGGAACGUGCCCAGUAGUGGGGGAUAGCACGGCGAAAGCCGGAUUAAUACCGCAUACGACCUGAGGGUGAAAGCGGGGGACCGAAAGGCCUCGCGCUAUUGGAGGGGCCGAUGUCGGAUUAGCUAGUUGGUGGGGUAAAGGCUUACCAAGGCGACGAUCCGUAGCUGGUCUGAGAGGACGACCAGCCACACUGGGACUGAGACACGGCCCAGACUCCUACGGGAGGCAGCAGUGGGGAAUUUUGGACAAUGGGGGCAACCCUGAUCCAGCCAUGCCGCGUGAGGGAAGAAGGCCUUCGGGUUGUAAACCGCUUUUGUUCGGGAAGAAAUCCUGUGGGCUAAUACCCCGGGGGGACGACGGUACCGGAAGAAUAAGCACCGGCUAACUACGUG